GCGCGGGUGGUGAAAUGGUAUACACGCCAGCUUGAGGUGCUGGUGCCGCAAGGUGUGGAGGUUCGACUCCUCUCCCGCGCACAA
rnacentral:tRNA from 1 species